ensembl:lncRNA MIR663AHG MIR663A host gene
UCUCUCCUCCCCGAGCGGCUCACCGGCUUUACGUCGGUUGGUGGCCGCGUCUGGGACCGAACCGGGCACCGCCUUGUGGAAAAAAAAGAAUAGAAUAUACCCUGUUAAAUCAGACAUGAUACUUGCUUUUGUGGAGCUUAUGCUUUAGUGCAGAAACAGAAAGUCAAGCAAAAACUCAAACUAUGUAACUUUAAAUUGGAUAUGUGCUAAUGAAGGAAAAUGUGGCACUGUAAGAAAAAAUAAUAGGGAGUUAAAGGAUAAAUAGGAGUUUGCUGGAUGAAAUUUAUGAAGAGCUGAAGAUUUCAAACAAAAGAAACUGAUGCAGGAGGGUGCAGCUUUGGAGUCAAGAAUGAAGUUCUAGGAGAUAGAGAGCAAAGAAAUGGUGGGAGAGGAGGUCAAAGUAGACGGAAUGAAGUUGAUAAUAGUGAGACCUUGUUGGUACAAGACUAUGUAACAUAACCUGCGCUUCUCAACAAAGAAUUGCUUUUCUGACUUCUGCACUCAAUAGCAAGACAAAUCUCUCCUCUGCCUUCUCCUUAUCAGACUACUCAACAUGAAGGCAAUAAGAAUGAAGACCUCUAUGUAUAAUAAUUGACUUCCACUUAAUAAAUAAGGUUACUUGGUACACUGGUCGACAAAACCUUGAAAUGUUGAUGUUUAAGGGCUGUUGAUUGCUGGCAGCAAAGAAGUCCAACUGUGCUGGUACCCGAGAUAGCGUCUCCACAUUUUCUUCCAGGAUCAUCACCUUUGUUCUAAAUAGCUCCCACAUAGUGUGAACAGAAGUCAUAUGUUUUAGAUUUUCUGCCUUGGCACCCAGGAAACCAGUAUGAUUGAGUAAACAUAUUAAACUUCCUCUGCAUUUCCAGCCUGAACAGAUGUUGAGUACAAGCUGAUCCACCUACGUUCAACCUGAGAGAGUCCACAUCCACAGACUGUUUCAUUUCCCUUUUUCAAUUUACAUAGAAGCAUAGAUUCUUGCUGGCAUAUACAAAUGCGCCAUUUAAGGCAAUCAAAAAUGGUUCCACAUCUCAUCUGAUUUCCACAAUUGUUGCUGUAACGAUGGACUACUGAGGAGAGAGACAAUUUCUCUGGCACAUCUUCCCACAUUUUAGCAACAUGUUCAUGGAGAGCCAAUAUUCAGUAAUUACAGCCCAAUUCCUCACAAUUUCACAAUUCGCUAACAAUAUGCAUUUUCACAAUGUAAAGCUGAUUUUCCUUUAACCAAAUCAAACAUGAAAAGAUAGCUGCAUGCAAUGGGCAAUCUAGAUCAUUAGAAGAUUGAUGUAAAAUUAGAGGACACUGAGACUGGAAUAGAUUGCAAACUUCAGGGAGCUCAGAAAACUUGUAAACUCUACAUUUUGAGGAAAUAUGUUGUCGAUGCUUUUGCAACUCUAUGCAGUAACUUAACAAAUAAAGCCUUAAAGUAACU